rnacentral:rRNA from 1 species
AUUGAACGCUGGCGGCAGGCCUAACACAUGCAAGUCGAGCGGAGCGGCGGACGGGUGCGUAAUGCCUAGGAAUCUGCCUGGUAGUGGGGGAUAACGUUCGGAAACGGGCGCUAAUACCGCAUACUAUCAGAUGAGCCUAGGUCGGUUUAGCUAGUUGGUGGGGUAAAGGCCUACCAAGGCGACGAUCCGUAACUGGUCUGAGAGUCUGAUCAGUCAAAGUGGAACUGGGAGACGGUCCAGACGCCUACGGGAGGCAGCAGUGGGGAAUAUUGGACAAUGGGCGAAAGCCUGAUCCAGCCAUGCGGCGUGUGUGAAGAAGGUCUUCGGAUUGUAAAGCUCUUUAAGUUGGGAGGCGUUACCAACAGAAUAAGCACCGGCUAACUUCGUGCCAGCCGCCGCGGUAAUUC